ensembl:snRNA U6 U6 spliceosomal RNA
GUGCUUACUUCAUUAGUGCUUACAUUAAAAUUGGAACAAUACAGAGAAGAUUAGCACAGUCCCUGCAUAAGGAUAACAUGCAAAUUCAUGAAGUGUUCCAUAUAUAA